rnacentral:rRNA from 1 species
AUUGAACGCUGGCGGCAGGCUUAACACAUGCAAGUCGAGCGAGCGGCGGACGGGUGAGUAAUGUCUGGGAAACUGCCUGGUGGAGGGGGAUAACUACUGGAAACGGUGGCUAAUACCGCAUACCAUCAGAUGUGCCGAGAUGGGAUUAGCUAGUGGGUGGGGUAAGGGCUCACCUAGGCGACGAUCCCUAGCUGGUCUGAGAGGAUGACCAGCCACACUGGAACGGAGACACGGUCCAGACUCCUACGUGAGGCAGCAGUGGGGAAUAUUGCACAAUGGGCGCAAGCCUGAUGCAGCCAUCCCGCGUGUAUGAAGAAGGCCUUCGGGUUGUAAAGCACUUUCAGCGAGGAGGCGUUACUCGCAGAAUAAGCACCGGCUAACUACGUGCCAGCCGCCGCGGUAAUUC